rnacentral:rRNA from 1 species
GACGAACGCUGGCGGCGUGCUUAACACAUGCAAGUCGAACGGAAAGGCCCUGCUUUUGUGGGGUGCUCGAGUGGCGAACGGGUGAGUAACACGUGAGUAACCUGCCCUUGACUUUGGGAUAACUUCAGGAAACGGGGGUUAAUCCCGGAUAGGAGCUCCUGCUCCAUGGUGGGGGUUGGAAAGUUUCGGCGGUUGGGGAUGGACUCGCGGCUUAUCAGUUUGUUGGUGGGGUAGUGGCUUACCAAGGCUUUGACGGGUAGCCGGCCUGAGAGGGUGACCGGCCACAUGGGGACUGAGAUAGGGACCAGACUCCAACGGGAGGCAGCAGUGGGAAAUAUUGCACAAUGGGCGGAAGCCUGAUGCAGCAACGCCGCGUGCGGGAUGACGGCUUUCGGGUUGUAAACCGCUUUCGCCUGUGACGAAGCGUGAGUGACGGUAAUGGGUAAAGAAGCACCGGCUAACUACGUG